AACCCAUUCUCACUCCAAAGGCGUCAAAAACCGAAGCAUGGUCAAGCGCCCCUAGCGUCACUUUUAUGACGCCAAAUGUGCCUCUCGGCGUCGACUAUCGAAGCACUACGACCUUCAUUGCUUUCAGUGGGAAACUUUUGGCGUCAGAAUUCGACACGAGGACAUGAGAUGUUUAUCGCUAUGAAAUCACGUUCAAGAAGUCUCAUUCAGCACACAUCGCGCGAUACUUGCUAUCAGUUCCACAGUUUGGCUGAAAAGACGUAAAGGCAGUCAGCCCAGUGGUGUUUCUGGAGAGGGAUUCCUUCAGAAAUGGAGAAGACAGAAAGCUGCGGAGGCAGAUAUUUGCAGCAUGUUCGAGUGAGCAUGAUGACCACGAGUGUGUGUCGAACUUUUCAUGACCUGAUGACUGUGUUUCCCAAUCCUGAUCCUGGAGAACCCCAGCACUGCACGGUUUUGGCGUCUCUCUUAUCUGCCUUGGAGUCUUCACUGAUGAGCUGAUGAGUUGAAUCAGGAUUGUUUGAGGAUAACACUGCAGUUCUCCAUCAUGCACAAGGACUCACCUCGUUAACUCUUUAUCCCCCACACACACAGAUAUGGUCCCUGGAUCAGUGAUUAGACUUUGCAGUGGUUUGAUUUUUGCAGAAGAUGUAACUUUGUUUUAUUUAUAAGCUCAUAAUGAAUACAUUACAGAACCAGUGAUGAAAACAAUAGUUAAAAAUAGUAUUUUUCGUAUUGAUAAAGCAUUUUGUUCUCUUUUUCAAGCUUCAUACAGUGAACUUUUUAGACUUUAAUUAAGAGUUUUAGUAAAGGAGAUAUUCAUACACAGUCAUCCCCUAGCUCCAGUCAUGAAGUGAAUUCAUGAUGUUAUUGUCAAAGCUAGCAGGUGUUUGUUUUCCUGAACACUUUCUCUGUCUUCCAUUGUUCAGACAAUCAGUGUUUAUUUGAUGCUGUGCUGAUUGAGUUUUAUAGAUGAUAUUGCACACUUGACAUGCAUGUCUUCAUGGUGUUUUUUUGUGAGUUUGAAACAUUUACAUUGUGUUGUAUAACAUUUUGGUCAAUUUAAUUUUUUUAAUAAAAUUGAUCUUUUUCCAGUGUUCUCUGAAAGACAUACUGUAUUUACUGUUUUGUUUUUUAAUAAAAGCAUUUUCAUUUGCAUACUGAAAAUAGUUAAUGUUUACAACAUAACUGCCUUUUUAUUCUUUAUGGUGGCAAAAACGAGCUUGGUGACAGAGGAUGCAGUGUAGUAAU